rnacentral:rRNA from 3 species
CUCUCGGCAACGGAUAUCUCGGCUCUCGCAUCGAUGAAGAACGUAGCGAAAUGCGAUACUUGGUGUGAAUUGCAGAAUCCCGUGAACCAUCGAGUCUUUGAACGCAAGUUGCGCCCGAAGCCGUCAGGCCGAGGGCACGUCUGCCUGGGUGUCACGCAACGUC